GAACGAGAAAGUGGAGCAAUCCAUGAGUAAAGUGGCGACCGGNGUGAGUAACACGUGACUAACCUACCUCCGAGUGGGGAAUAACUCCGGGAAACCGGGGCUAAUACCGCAUAACAUCGCAAGAUCAAAGCAGCAAUGCGCUUGGAGAGGGGGUCGCGGCUGAUUAGCUCGUUGGCGGGGUAACGGCCCACCAAGGCGAAGAUCGGUAUCCGGCCUGAGAGGGCGCACGGACACACUGGAACUGAAACACGGUCCAGACUCCUACGGGAGGCAGCAGUGGGGAAUUUUGCGCAAUGGGGGAAACCCUGACGCAGCAACGCCGCGUGGAGGAUGAAGCCCUUUGGGGCGUAAACUCCUUUCGACUCGGACGAUAAUGACGGUACGAGUGGAAGAAGCACCGGCUAACUCUGUG
rnacentral:rRNA from 1 species